rnacentral:rRNA from 1 species
GAUGAACGCUGGCGGCGUGCCUAAUACAUGCAAGUCGAGCGAAUGGAUUAAGAGCUUGCUCUUAUGAAGUUAGCGGCGGACGGGUGAGUAACACGUGGGUAACCUGCCCAUAAGACUGGGAUAACUCCGGGAAACCGGGGCUAAUACCGGAUAACAUUUUGAACCGCAUGGUUCGAAAUUGAAAGGCGGCUUCGGCUGUCACUUAUGGAUGGACCCGCGUCGCAUUAGCUAGUUGGUGCGGUAACGGCUCACCAAGGCAACGAUGCGUAGCCGACCGGAGAGGGUGAUCGGCCACCCUGGGACUGGGACACGGCCCAGACUCCUACGGGAGGCAGCAGUAGGGAAUCGUCCGCAAUGGACGAAAGUCUGACGGAGCAACGCCGCGUGAGUGAUGAAGGCUUUCGGGUCGUAAAACUCUGUUGUUAGGGAAGAACAAGUGCUAGUUGAAUAAGCUGGCACCUUGACGGUACCUAACCAGAAAGCCACGGCUAACUACGUGCCAGCCGCCGCAGUAA